rnacentral:rRNA from 1 species
CCUACGGAGGGGCAGCAGUGGGGAAUAUUGGACAAUGGGCGAAAGCCUGAUCCAGCCAUGCCGCGUGUGUGAAGAAGGCCUUCGGGUUGUAAAGCACUUUCAGUGGGGAAGAAAGCCUUGGGGCUAAUACCCUCGAGGAAGGACAUCACCCACAGAAGAAGCACCGGCUAACUCCGUGCCAGCAGCCGCGGUAAUACGGAGGGUGCGAGCGUUAAUCGGAAUUACUGGGCGUAAAGCGCGCGUAGGCGGUCUGAUAAGCCGGUUGUGAAAGCCCCGGGCUCAACCUGGGAACGGCAUCCGGAACUGUCAGGCUAGAGUGCAGGAGAGGAAGGUAGAAUUCCCGGUGUAGCGGUGAAAUGCGUAGAGAUCGGGAGGAAUACCAGUGGCGAAGGCGGCCUUCUGGACUGACACUGACGCUGAGGUGCGAAAGCGUGGGUAGCAAACAGGAUUAGAUACCCCUGUAGUC